rnacentral:rRNA from 1 species
UGAAAGGUGAAAAGCACCCCUGUUAGGGGAGUGAAAUAGUAACUGAAACUGAUUGCCUACAAGUCAGUGGGAGCCGCCUUGUGCGGUGACCGCCUGCCUUUUGUAUAAUGAGUCUGCGAGUUAUUGCUUGUAGCCAGCAUAAGUCGUUCCGCGACCGAUGCGCAGCGAAAGCGAGUCCGAAUAGGGCGCCUAGUUGCAGGCAAUAGACCCGAAGGGGAGGUGAUCUAACCAUGGCCAGGAUGGAACUUCGGUAAGACGAAGUGGAGGUCCGAACCCUUCAACCUUGAGAAGUUGUGGGAUGAGCUGUGGUUAGGAGCGAAAGACUAAUCAAACCCCCUGAUAGCUGGUUCUUUCCGAAAUAUAUUUGGGUAUAGCGUCCGGUGCUGAUCCGCGGGGGUAGAGCACUAAAUAAGCUAGGGGCCCGACAGGGCUACUGAACUUAAUUAAACUCCGAAUACCGCGGAGUGAAGCCGGGCAGUCAGACGGUGGGGGAUAAGCUUCAUCGUCAAGAGGAGAAGAAUCCAGACCAUCAGUUAAGGUCCCAAAACACGGCUUAGUGUGAAAGGAUGUGAUUUUACAUAGACAAUGGGGAUGUUGGCUUAGAGGCAGCCAUCAUUUAAACAGUGCGUAACAGCUGACCCAUCGAGUGAAAUUGCGCCGAAAAUGAUCGGGACUGAAGUCGUGUACCGAAGCUAUGGAUUGGCCGCAAGGCCAGUGGUAGGAAAGCGUUCCUCGUGCAGCGAAGUGGAAGCGGAAGCGACCAUGGAGCGCGAGGAAGUGAGAAUGCAGACAUAAGUAGCUAUAAAUUUGGUUGAAUUCCAAAUCGCCGAAGUCCCAAGGUUUCCUGGGCAAGGUUCGUCCUCUCAGGGUUAGUCGGGAGCUAAGGUAAGGCCGUAAGGAGUAACCGAUGCACAACUGGUAACAUAUUCCAGUACCGGUGCCAAAGCGUUAUCAACAGAGUGAACCGGAACAAAGAUCUGCUCGAGGGGCAUUGAGUUCCCUUGCAAGUGUCGCGGUGUUGCGGAAGGCAAAUCCUCCGCAUUUUAGCCGUAGCACGACGCCUAGUUUCGGCCACGGCCGGAGCAAAGAACAGAUCUAGGUUUCCAAGAAACGUCGCGCUGUGAGCUUUGGUGUCGCCCGUACCGUAAACCGACACAGGUGGGGUAGAUGAAUAAUCUUAGGCGCGUGAGUUAAAUCUCUCUAAGGAACUCGGCAAAAUAGCCCCGUACGUUAGCUAGAAGGGGCGCCCAUUAUUGGGUCGCAGUGAAAUGGGUCAACCGACUGUUUAGCAAAAACACAGCUCUCUGCGAAGUCGCAAGACAACGAAUAGGGAGUGACACGUGACCAAUGCGGAAAGGUGAACGGCUUGGGUGCAAGCUCAGGCUCUAAGCCCCCGUGAAUGUCGGCCGUAACUAUAACGGUCCUAAGGUAGCGAAAUUCCUUGUCGGGUAAGUUCCGACCCGCACGAAUCGUGUAACGAGUUGACCGCUGUCUCGGAGAGAGGCUCAGCGAAAUUGUAGUGGCGGUGAAGAUGCCGCCUACCCGCAGCAGGACGGAAAGACCCUAUGCACCUUUACUGUAAGCUGGUAUUGUCACUUGAUUUUCAAUGCGUAGCAUAGGUGGGAGGCUUUGAGGCCAAAAAAAAU